rnacentral:sRNA from 1 species
AUAUUACUUUGAAUUAUUCCUUU